GGGCACAUGGUGUAGAUGGUUUAUCACGCCCGCUUAGCAUGCGGGAGGUGUUGGGUUUCAAGUCCCAAUGUGUUCC